ACCAGACAGAGAAGGGAGCAGAGGAAGAGGAGACUAAAGUGAGGAUGAUGAUGAUGAUGAGGAUGCUGCUCCUGGUCUGCAUCAAUGCCUCUCAUCUGGUACUGUUGGUGUCUUGCAUAGAGCAGCAUGAAUGUGACGCCUGCUAGCUGCACGGCAGAGUCGCCGUUGGGAGUCCAGCCCCUCCUGAAAUGGCUUUACAUCGCCACGGAGCUGGUCAUCGCUGUGCUGGCCAUCGUGGGGAACAUCCUGGUCUGCCUGGCUGUCAGAUGCAACAAGAGGCUGCGCACCUACACCAACUACUUCCUGGUGAGAAGAGCAAAAAUUUCACCACUGCCUGAAAAAGAAAAAAAGAAAGUGUGACACUGCUCUAUGUGAAGGUGUCCAUGGCGGUGGCGGACAUCCUGGUGGGCUUGUUGGCCAUCCCCUCUGCAGUGCUGACAGACCUGGGCAGACCGCAUCACAACCUGCCGCUGUGCCGGGUGCUGCUCAGCAUCCUGCUGGUCCUCACACAGAGCUCCAUCCUGAGCCUGUUGGCGGUGGCAGCAGAGCGCUACAUGGCCAUCCUCCUGCCCUUCCAGUACCAGCGCAUCAUGAGUCCCCGGAGCACCCGGCUGGCCCUGCUGGCCACCUGGGCCCUCGGCGGCCUCUCCGGCUCCGUGCCCCUCAUGGACUGGCAAAGACAACCUGCAGACUCCAAGUAAGAACGGUUGACUUCAGGAAAUCCCUGCAGCUCCUGUGUGACUGAUUGCGUCCUCUCAUUCCAGCGUCUGCGUCUUCAGCUGUGUGGUGGACAUGCGCUACAUGGUCUACUUCAACUUCUUCUGCUGCCUCCUGCUGCCGCUUGUCGCCAUGUCCAUCAUCUACGGCCGCAUCUUCCUCACCGUCCGCCACCAGCUCAGAAGCAUCGCUGUGGCCGGAGGCGGGAGCUCAGGCGGCGGGGCGAGCAGAGAGGACGAAGAGAGAGAGAGUAAAGAGGGGGAGGCAGAGUCUGGAAGUGAAACCAGCUCCACCUCUGCUCCUGCCAGCAGGCCCAAACCCAGGACCCGCCCCCACCGGGAGCUGCAGAAGGCCACGUCCCUCUUCCUGUUGCUCUUCCUCUUCA
rnacentral:lncRNA from 1 species